rnacentral:rRNA from 1 species
AUUGAACGCUGGCGGCAUGCUUUACACAUGCAAGUCGAACGGUAACAGGCCGCAAGGUGCUGACGAGUGGCGAACGGGUGAGUAAUGCAUCGGAAAGUGCCCAGUCGUGGGGGGUAACGCAGCGAAAGCUGCGCUAAUACCGCAUACGCGCUAUGGGUGAAAGCGGGGGACCGUAAGGCCUCGCGCCAUUGGAGCGGGCGAUGUCAGAUUAGGUAGUUGGUGGGGUAAAGGCUCACCAAGCCAACGAUCUGUAGCUGGUCUGAGAGGACGACCAGCCACACUGGGACUGAGACACGGCCCAGACUCCUACGGGAGGCAGCAGUGGGGAAUUUUGGACAAUGGGCGCAAGCCUGAUCCAGCAAUGCCGCGUGCAGGAAGAAGGCCUUCGGGUUGUAAACUGCUUUUGUACGGAACGAAACGGCUCUGGUUAAUACCUGGGGCUAAUGACGGUACCGUAAGAAUAAGCACCGGCUAACUACGUGCCAGCCGCCGCAGUAAAAC